rnacentral:rRNA from 1 species
GACUUCUGGUUUAAUGCAGCGCGUUACCAUCCUUCCAGCAACGGCUACCCUUAACUGGGCGGCUGAACUGGAUCUUUUACUUUGAAAAAAUUAGAGUGUUUAAAGCAGGCGCUUGAAUACAUUAGAAUGAUAAUCUAGGACUUCGGUUCUAUUUUGUUGGUUUCUUUAACUGAAGUAAUGAUUGAUAGGGAUAGUUGGGGGUGCUAGUAUUGGCCGGUCAGAGGUGAAAUUCUUGGAUUCGGUCAAGACUAACUUAUGCGAAAGCAUU